rnacentral:rRNA from 1 species
AUGAACGCUGGCGGCGUGCCUAAUCCAUGCCAGUCGAGCGAACAGAUGAGGAGCUUGCUCCUCUGACGUUAGCGGCGGACGGGUGAGUAACACGUGGAUAACCUACCUAUAAGACUGGGAUAACUUCGGGAAACCGGAGCUAAUACCGGAUAAUAUAUUGAACCGCAUGGUUCAAUAGUGAAAGACGGUUUUGCUGUCACUUAUAGAUGGAUCCGCGCCGCAUUAGCUAGUUGGUAAGGUAACGGCUUACCAAGGCAACGAUGCGUAGCCGACCUGAGAGGGUGAUCGGCCACACUGGAACUGAGACACGGUCCAGACUCCUACGGGAGGCAGCAGUAGGGAAUCUUCCGCAAGGGGCGAAAGCCUGACGGAGCAACGCCGCGUGAGUGAUGAAGGUCUUCGGAUCGUAAAACUCUGUUAUUAGGGAAGAACAAAUGUGUAAGUAACUAUGCACGUCUUGACGGUACCUAAGCAGAAAGCCACGGCUAACUACGU